GGAGAGUUGCUCGAGUGGCUGAAGAGGCACGCUUGGAAAGCGUGUAUAGGGUCAAACUUAUCGAGGGUUCGAAUCCCUCACUCUCCU
rnacentral:tRNA from 2 species